rnacentral:lncRNA from 1 species
AUUGCUGAGGGCUGGUCUGUCGGCUCUGGAAAUCCUGUCAUACUGUCACUUUUGGAUUCCGCCGUUUCCGUCCCAACGGAAAACUGGGGCUCCUGGAUUCCCCUGACCCGAGUUGUAACCACCGACGAGAAUCUUUUUCACUGGCGGCCUCGGCGUCGGCAUUUUAUAAAAUGAGAGCGGGGAGGGCGGCCGAAGACGAGUGUGCGGAGCCUUAGGCCCCCCGCUCGGGUCCGCUUUUCGUAUAUUCGGUUUUGGACAAAGAUGAAGAAACAAAUCUAGAGACUGGAUGACCUUGGAUCUCAGACAUUCACUAUGUGCUUAUUUUCCCCAUAAGAUGAAUAAAAACAACAAACCUUCCAGUUUCAUAGCCAUAAGAAAUGCUGCU